rnacentral:rRNA from 1 species
AUCUGGAAAGAAUCUGGAGACAGGUGCUGCAUGGCUGUCGUCAGCUCGUGUCGUGAGAUGUUGGGUUAAGUCCCGCAACGAGCGCAACCCUUGCCUUUAGUUGCCAGCAGUUCGGCUGGGCACUCUAAAGGGACUGCCGGUGUUAAACCGGAGGAAGGUGGGGAUGACGUCAAGUCCUCAUGGCCUUUAUGACCAGGGCUACACACGUACUACAAUGGCCGAUACAAAGGGCAGCGACACUGCGAGGUGAAGCCAAUCCCGUAAAAUCGGUCUCAGUCCGGAUUGGAGUCUGCAACUCGACUCCAUGAAGUUGGAAUCGCUAGUAAUCGUGGAUCAGCAUGCCACGGUGAAUACGUUCCCGGGCCUU